rnacentral:rRNA from 1 species
GCUCAGAUUGAACGCUGGCGGCAGGCCUAACACAUGCAAGUCGAGCGGAAACGACACUAACAAUCCUUCGGGUGCGUUAAUGGGCGUCGAGCGGCGGACGGGUGAGUAAUGCCUAGGAAAUUGCCUUGAUGUGGGGGAUAACCAUUGGAAACGAUGGCUAAUACCGCAUAAUGCCUACGGGCCAAAGAGGGGGACCUUCGGGCCUCUCGCGUCAAGAUAUGCCUAGGUGGGAUUAGCUAGUUGGUGAGGUAAUGGCUCACCAAGGCGACGAUCCCUAGCUGGUCUGAGAGGAUGAUCAGCCACACUGGAACUGAGACACGGUCCAGACUCCUACGGGAGGCAGCAGUGGGGAAUAUUGCACAAUGGGCGAAAGCCUGAUGCAGCCAUGCCGCGUGUAUGAAGAAGGCCUUCGGGUUGUAAAGUACUUUCAGUUGUGAGGAAGGGGGUAGUGUUAAUAGCGCUAUCUCUUGACGUUAGCAACAGAAGAAGCACCGGCUAACUCCGUGCCAGCAGCCGCGGUAAUACGGAGGGUGCGAGCGUUAAUCGGAAUUACUGGGCGUAAAGCGCAUGCAGGUGGUUCAUUAAGUCAGAUGUGAAAGCCCGGGGCUCAACCUCGGAACUGCAUUUGAAACUGGUGAACUAGAGUACUGUAGAGGGGGGUAGAAUUUCAGGUGUAGCG